rnacentral:rRNA from 1 species
ACACAUGCAGUCGAGCGAUUCCUUCGGAGAAUAGCGGUGGACGGGUGAGUAACGCGGGGGGAACCUGCCUCGUACACAUGGAUAACAUACCGAAAGGUAUGCUAAUACAGGAUAACAUAAGAAAUUCACAUGUAUUUCUUAUCAAAGCUCCGGCGGGAUGAGAUGGACCCGCGGCUGAUUAUCUAUGUGGUAAGGUAACGGCUUACCAAGGGGACGAUCAGUAGCCGACCUGAGAGGGUGAUCGGCCACAUUGGAACUGAGACACGGUCCAAACUCCUACGGGAGGCAGCACUGGGGAAUAUUGCACGAUGGGCGAAAGCCUGAUGCACCAACGCCGCGUGAGUGAUGAAGGCCUUCGGGUCGUAAAACUCUGUCCUCAAGGAAGAUAAUGACGGUACUUGAGGAGGAACCCCCGGCUAACUACGUGCCAGCACCCGCGGGUUAAAUACGUAGGGGGGGCCUAAGCGUUUAUCCCGGGAAUUUUACUGGGGCGUAAAAGGGUGCGUAGGGUGGGUUUUCUUUAAAGUUCAGGGAGUGAAAAGGCCUACGGGCUUCAAACCCGUAGUAAAGCUCUUUGGAAAACUGGGGAGAACUUUGAGUGCCAGGAAGAGGGAAAAGUGGGAAAUUUCCUAGGUGUAGCGGGUGAAAAUGCGUUAGAUAUUAGGGAGGGAACACCCAGUAGGCGAAAGGCGGGCUCUUCUGGAUCUGUAAACUGACACCUGAGGGCACGAAAAGCGUGGGGGAGCGAAACAGGGAUUUAGAUACCCCUGGUAGUCCACGCCCGUAAAACGAUGAGUACUAGGUGUCGGGGGUUACCCCCCUCGGUGCUCGCAGCUAACGCAUUAAGUACUCCGCCUGGGGAGUACGCUCGCAAGAGUGAAACUCAAAGGAAUUGACGGGGACCCCGCACAAGUAGCGGAGGCAUGUGGUUUAAUUAGAAGCAACGCGAAGAACCUCACCUAAGCUUGACAUCCUUUUGAGCGAUGCCUAAUCGCAUUUUUCCCUUCGGGGACAGAAGUGACAGGUGGUGCAUGGUUGUUGUCAGCUUGUGUUGUGAGAUGUUGGGUUAAGUCCCGCAACGAGCGCAACCCUUGCCUUUAGUUGCCAGCAUUAAGUUGGGCCCUUUAGAGGGACUGCCAGGGAUAACCUGGAGGAAGGUGGGGAUGACGUCAAAUCAUCAUGCCCCUUAUGCUUAGGGGUACACACGUGCUACAAUGGGUGGUACAGAGGGCAGCCAAGUCGUGAGGCCGAGCUAAUCCCUUAAAACCAUUUUCAGUUUGGAUUGUAGGGUGAAACUCGCCUACAUGAAACUGGAGUUACUAGUAAUCGCAGAUCAGAAUGCUGCGGUGAAUGCGUUCCCGGGUCUUGUACACACCCCCCGUCACCCCCCGGAA